CUCCCAGAGUCAGCUGAAGCUUCAAUGAGACGCUGCAGCCCCACCAUUCCCUCGGCCCAAUCCUGCCUCUGUCCCCUCCCACCACAGGUGUGAGCCCAACAGCAUGCCCCGUAAACAUCCUGCACCUGCACACCCAUCUCCAUCCUACUCUGCUUCCCAAGAAACCCAGCUUGGUCUGGCUCCGUCACCAAGGCUGGAGUGCAGUGGCUGAAUAUCUAUUCAUGGCAGUCUCUAUCUCCCAGGCUCCAGCUAUCCUUCCACCUCAGCCUCCCUGAGUAGCUGGGACUACAGUACAGAUCCUGGGACAGCAUCUAGGACAGAGGUGCUCCAAGGAGGAUGGAGGCAAAGGCAUGGC
rnacentral:lncRNA from 13 species